UACGAAGGGUGCAAGCGUUAAUCGGAAUUACUGGGCGUAAAGCGCACGUAGGCGGUUAGUUAAGUUGGAUGUGAAAGCCCCGGGCUCAACCUGGGAAUUGCAUUUGAAACUGGGAAACUAGAGUGUGUGAGAGGGGGGUAGAAUUCCAAGUGUAGCGGUGAAAUGCGUAGAGAUUUGGAGGAAUACCAGUGGCGAAGGCGGCCCCCUGGCACAACACUGACGCUCAGGUGCGAAAGCGUGGGGAGCAAACAGG
rnacentral:rRNA from 1 species